UACGUAGGCAGCGAGCGUUGUUCGGAGUUACUGGGCGUAAAGGGUGUGUAGGCGGUUGUUUUAAGUUUGGUGUGAAAUCUCCCGGCUCAACUGGGAGGGUGCGCCGAAUACUGAAUGACUUGGAGUGCGGGAGAGGAGAGUGGAAUUCCUGGUGUAGCGGUGAAAUGCGUAGAUAUCAGGAGGAACACCGGUGGUGUAGACGGCUCUCUGGACCGUAACUGACGCUGAGACACGAAAGCGUGGGGUAGCAAACAGG
rnacentral:rRNA from 1 species